AACGAACGCUGGCGGCGCGCCUAAUACAUGCAAGUCGAGCGAGAAGACGUAGCAAUACGUUUGUAAAGCGGCGAACGGGUGAGGAAUACAUGGGUAACCUACCCUCGAGUGGGGAAUAACUAGCCGAAGGUUAGCUAAUACCGCGUACGCUCCUUGGACUUCGGUUCAGGGAGGAAAGCGAUACCGUGGGUAUCGCGCUCUUGGAUGGGCUCAUGUCCUAUCAGCUUGUUGGUGAGGUAACGGCUCACCAAGGCUUCGACGGGUAGCUGGUCUGAGAGGACGAUCAGCCACACUGGCACUGCGACACGGGCCAGACUCCUACGGGAGGCAGCAGUAAGGAAUAUUGCGCAAUGGGCGAAAGCCUGACGCAGCGACGCCGCGUGGGGGA
rnacentral:rRNA from 1 species